UGGGAGGGUGCGAAGAUGACGCGACCACUGGAGGCUGUGAGGGUGAAAGGAGUAAGAAUCGUCUAGAGACAGGGGCUGGGCCGGUGCUGAGGCCAAAGGCUUCUGUCUGUCAGGCCCUUUUUGGCGCUCACUCUAGAAAGAAGAGGCGGAGACGCGAAGAGAUCGGGUUAGAGUCAGAUUUUCGAAGCACGGAGAUGGGUUCAAUGAAAGAGGACGAGGAAAGACGAGAAACCAGCGGCUGGAGAAUGGAGGUGGCCGCCGCCGUCCUUUGCUCUGCGCGGGGCUCGGCGCCGCCCCGAGAGUCCUCCCGGGGCGGGCGGGGCGGGGCCGGGUGAACAGAGCUGGGCGGGCUCGCCAGCUCUUCCGGGCGCCCUGGGCAAGCAAUGUGGUGACUGAGCUGGGGUGUGUGUGUGUGUGUACGUACACGAGUGAGCGUGUGUGCGCACCCCACCCAGCCUUCCACACGCGCGCUGCUUAGUACCAGGCUAUAUUGUGGUCUGAUGAGUAACGUAAGCCUUUGGGGUUUAUAUUAUAUUUACCUUCUUGGUGUGUAGUAAGCGCUCUCCCUCCUCCCUCUGUUCCCCAGGUACCAUCUGACUAGCUCCCCUCAUUUAAGAGAGCUGGGGACAGGCAAAGCAGCCCUGGAAGUCUCCUGUGAUUUCUAAGCUUAAAUGUCUAUUUUUCUUUUCUCCCAUGCCUUGUAAUUGGGAAGAGGGAAAAGUUUACUUAAGAGCUGUUUUUUAAAUUAUUAUUCACUUGUUUCAAACAACACUCUCAUACUCCAGAUAAUUCCAUUUUCAUCUCUUUGGAGCUGAGCAAACCAGAUGAAAUUAUAUGAAUCCAAGUUUAUUUCAUUUUGUUGUAGAGUUCAACAAUUUUUAUGAAUUUCUAAUCCAACCUCAUCAUCCUAUGGGAAACAGAAGACCACCAAGAACAGCCAGCUGUUGCAGCCAAGAUGUUUUAUUCACUGAAGACAGAAGAGGGAAUCAUAAAAUCAUCCAGGCCUAUUUUUAAAGCUGGCCCUACAGAUACAACUGAUUUUCUCCUUGGGUGGAUGAAUUAUGGCGGGUAAAGAGCAGAAGAUGUGUGUGUGUGUGUGUGUGUGUGUGUGUGUGUGUGUGUGUGUGUGUGUGUGUGUGUAUUACAGUGUACAUAUUUUGCUGCUGGCUUGCCCUCUGUUCCUUUCAGUAUGCACGGGCAUGUGUGUGCACCUGCUGUAAGCCUACUUCUGUCGCUGCUGGCUGAUCUUGCCAUGGACCCAUCCAUCCACAGGAUUUGCAACACACUCAGCUCUGGCUCCGUGCCUCCAUUUCUCACACCCGCUUUCAUUUUUACCUAAUACUUGCCCUUUUUUCCUCUGCCCUAAGACCCCCUAGAUCUAUAUUUUGUGCUUUCUGAUCCAUUAAUCUUAAGUACCCUAAUGAAACUUCUAUCCCGUAAGUCUCUCUGGAGAAUAUUAGCCCAAAUCUUAUGGUUGACCCUUAAAUGACAUGGAUUUGAACUGCACAGCUCUACUUAUGCAGAAAUUUUUUUCAAACAGAUAAAAAACACAGUAUUCAUGGGAUGCGAAACAUGCAUAUACAAAGGCCCAACUUUCUCAUACCCAGGGGUUCCACAGAACUGACUUUCGGGACUUGAGAAUGUAUGGAUUUUGGUAUGUGCAGGACAGGGUUGUAGGGUCCUGGAACCCAUCCUCCAUGUAUACAAGGGACAAAUGUGUAUUACUUGACCUAAGAUAAGGACUUUCUGAUACAGAUUGCUGGAAGUUUCUUUCAUUAAUAGUGCCAUAUCUGAAUGAUGGAUCACAGAUUUUGAAAACAGCCCUACUGUAUUUCUACUCACUCAUGCAAUAUCCCAGAAACAAAUGGUGUUUGAUAAAUGCCAUUUACCUCUGAAGGGCUUCUUUCCCCAGCAGGAAGUCAGGCUUUCCUCUUAGGCGCUCCUAUACUAUCCUGCUAAGACAUCAUAAUGUACUGCAAUUACUUGUUUUCAUGUUUAUUUCCUUUGAGACUGAGCUCUUCUAGAAUCUUUUAUAGAUUCAGUGCACAGUAUUGAGACUAAAUAUGGAUUAUAAUAGGACCUUCCUUUUGUGGUUCUUAGGAGAAUUAAAUUAAGUGCAUGUAAAGCAUUUGCAGUGUUGUAGAUGUCCAAUAAACAUUAGCUGUUACUGUUACUAGUAUUAAUAAACCUUGCGCCCUUACACCCA